CCCCUAGAUGUUCUGGGCCGCACGCGCGCUACACUGAACAGUUCAACAAGUCUUAACCUUGGCCGAUAGGUCUGGGUAAUCUUUGAACGCUGUUCGUGAUUGGGAUAGACCUUUGCAAUUAUGGGUCUUCAACGAGGAAUUCCUAGUAAACGCAAGUCAUCAGCUUGCAUUGAUUACGUCCCUGCCCUUUGUACACACCGCCCGUCGCACCUACCGAUUGAAUGGUCCGGUGAAAUCUCGGGACGGCGGCUCGGUCGCUUGCGUCCGACUGCUGAAACUUGAUUAAACCAUAUCAUUUAGAGGAAGGUGAGGUCGUAACA
rnacentral:rRNA from 1 species